rnacentral:rRNA from 1 species
AACGAACGCUGGCGGCAUGCCUAACACAUGCAAGUCGAACGAGACCUUCGGGUCUAGUGGCGCACGGGUGCGUAACGCGUGGGAACCUGCCCUUAGGUUCGGAAUAACUCCCCGAAAGGGGUGCUAAUACCGGAUAAUGUCUUCGGACCAAAGAUUUAUCGCCUUUGGAUGGGCCCGCGUUGGAUUAGCUAGUUGGUAUGGUAAAAGCCUACCAAGGCGCCGAUCCAUAGCUGGGCUGAGAGGAUGAUCAGCCACACUGGGACUGAGACACGGCCCAGACUCCUACGGGAGGCAGCAGUGGGGAAUAUUGGACAAUGGGCGAAAGCCUGAUCCAGCACUGCCGCGUGAGUGAUGAAGGCCUUAGGGUUGUAAAGCUCUUUUACCCGGGAUGAUAAUGACAGUACCGGGAGAAUAAGCCCCGGCUAACUCCGUG